UACGAAGGGGGCUAGCGUUGCUCGGAAUCACUGGGCGUAAAGCGCACGUAGGCGGCUUUCUAAGUCAGGGGUGAAAUCCUGGAGCUCAACUCCAGAACUGCCUUUGAUACAGCACGUCUUGAGUCCGGAAGAGGUGGGUGGAAUUCCUAGUGUAGAGGUGAAAUUCGUAGAUAUUAGGAAGAACACCGGUGGCGAAGGCGGCCCACUGGUCCGGUACUGACGCUGAGGUGCGAAAGCGUGGGGAGCAAACAGG
rnacentral:rRNA from 1 species